GUAGGUGGCAAGCGUUGUCCGGAAUUAUUGGGCGUAAAGCGCGCGCAGGCGGUUCUUUAAGUCUGAUGUGAAAGCCCACGGCUCAACCGUGGAGGGUCAUUGGAAACUGGAGAACUUAAGUACAGAAGAGGAAAGCGGAAUUCCACGUGUAGCGGUGAAAUGCGUAGAGAUGUGGAGGAACACCAGUGGCGAAGGCGGCUUUCUGGUCUGUAACUGACGCUGAGGCGCGAAAGCGUGGGGAGCAAACAGGGAUUAGAUACCCUGGUAGUCCACGCCGUAAACGAUGAGUGCUAAGUGUUAGGGGGUUUCCCGCCCCUUAGUGCUGCAGCUAACGCAUUAAGCACUCCGCCUGGGGGAGUACGGCCGCAAGGCUG
rnacentral:rRNA from 1 species